CAUGCCGAUCCGAAUGGAUAUGGUAGAGGAGGCUCGAUAAGCAAACAACAUCAACUGCUCUCCAUCACACAUAAUUAUUUUGUCUCGAAUUAAAAAUAGAUCCGGUAGAAUCUGCAUGUAGGAGGGCAUUGCACUGGCUAUCAGUAGCAGAGCGACCGCAUGGAGAAGAUGGCAUAGGCAGCCUGCGAAGCAGCUGCGUGGCAGAUCCAGUGGUCGGCGGUACUCUCCGGCAGCCUGCAUUAGCAGCGAAUCAACCCACGCCCAAGCAGAGGAACAUUUGCGCAUGAGUGCCACAGGUCUUGGAGGCUUAUACAACAUCAUACCUUUCAAUAACUCUAAUCUGAUGGAUUACCCGAUCUGUUGGGUUGCCGUUCCUCAUUCCAAGUGGCUACAAAAUAAAUUACUCGCUCCGUCCCACAAUAUAAGAGCAAUGUAUCGGUAACUUUGACCCUCCGCAUACUACAAGCGUUGCGAUUGAGCCUUGGUUCCAUCGAGUGUUGCCAGUGUGUACAAUAUCUCUGAUCCGCCGGGCGUCAUGGACAUCUAUUGGUAGCCUGCUCCUGUCUACGAUUCACUUGGCAUGGUUUGAUGUGAUCAAAGAUGCGUAUUGUUGCUAUAUUAAUCAGCUGGACAAUGUUCCUCAAAAGGAAUAUCAAUCCGACAAUGCAUGGUUAGCUAAGAUGAGGGAAAAGCAUCAUGGAUUUUUCAUGCUAAUCUCGGCGCAUUCAUUGUUGUGUCACAUGUGCAUAUGUGGUCAGGACUAUUGUAAUCUUUUUUUUGGGAAAUUGUGAUCUCUUUUUGAUCGG